UACGUAGGGUCCGAGCGUUGUCCGGAAUUACUGGGCGUAAAGAGCUCGUAGGUGGUUUGUCGCGUUGUUCGUGAAAACUCACAGCUCAACUGUGGGCGUGCGGGCGAUACGGGCAGACUGGAGUACUGCAGGGGAGACUGGAAUUCCUGGUGUAGCGGUGGAAUGCGCAGAUAUCAGGAGGAACACCGGUGGCGAAGGCGGGUCUCUGGGCCGAUACUGACGCUGAGGAGCGAAAGCAUGGGUAGCGAACAGG
rnacentral:rRNA from 1 species